rnacentral:SRP_RNA from 1 species
UGAGGCAGGAGGAUUGCUUGAGCCCAGGAGUUUGAGGUUGCUGUGAGCUAGGCUGACGCCAUGGCACUCACUCUUGCCUGGGCAACAAAGCGAGACUCUGUCUCAAAAAAAAAAACAAAAAAAAAACAUACACACAAUUAUAUUUCUUUUUUUUUUUUUUUUUUUUGAGACAGAGUCUCGCUUUCUUGCCUAGGCUAGAGUGAGUGCCGUGGCAUCAGCCUAGCUCACAGCAACCUCAAACUCCUGGGCUCAAGUGAUCCUCCUGCCUCAGCCUCCCGAGUAGCUGGGACUACAGGCACGAGCCACCAUGCCCGGC